GUACACUCCUGCGGGAGGCAGCAGUGGGGAAUUUUGGACAAUGGGCGAAAGCCUGAUCCAGCAAUGCCGCGUGAGUGAAGAAGGCCUUCGGGUUGUAAAGCUCUUUUGUCAGGGAAGAAACGGUGAAAGCUAAUAUCUUUUGCUAAUGACGGUACCUGAAGAAUAAGCACCGGCUAACUACGUGCCAGCAGCCGCGGUAAUACGUAGGGUGCAAGCGUUAAUCGGAAUUACUGGGCGUAAAGCGUGCGCAGGCGGUUUUGUAAGUCUGAUGUGAAAUCCCCGGGCUCAACCUGGGAAUUGCAUUGGAGACUGCAAGGCUAGAAUCUGGCAGAGGGGGGUAGAAUUCCACGUGUAGCAGUGAAAUGCGUAGAUAUGUGGAGGAACACCGAUGGCGAAGGCAGCCCCCUGGGUCAAGAUUGACGCUCAUGCACGAAAGCGUGGGGAGCAAACAGGAUUAGAUACCCGUGUAGUCCCAUGAU
rnacentral:rRNA from 1 species